rnacentral:rRNA from 1 species
UGCUGGAGGUAUCAGAAGUGCGAAUGCUGACAUAAGUAACGAUAAAGCGGGUGAAAAGCCCGCUCGCCGGAAGACCAAGGGUUCCUGUCCAACGUUAAUCGGGGCAGGGUGAGUCGACCCCUAAGGCGAGGCCGAAAGGCGUAGUCGAUGGGAAACAGGUUAAUAUUCCUGUACUUGGUGUUACUGCGAAGGGGGGACGGAGAAGGCUAUGUUGGCCGGGCGACGGUUGUCCCGGUUUAAGCGUGUAGGCUGGUUUUCCAGGCAAAUCCGGAAAAUCAAGGCUGAGGCGUGAUGACGAGGCACUACGGUGCUGAAGCAACAAAUGCCCUGCUUCCAGGAAAAGCCUCUAAGCAUCAGGUAACAUCAAAUCGUACCCCAAACCGACACAGGUGGUCAGGUAGAGAAUACCAAGGCGCUUGAGAGAACUCGGGUGAAGGAACUAGGCAAAAUGGUGCCGUAACUUCGGGAGAAGGCACGCUGAUAUGUAGGUGAAGCGACUCCCUCGUGGAGCUGAAAUCAGUCGAAGAUACCAGCUGGCUGCAACUGUUUAUUAAAAACACAGCACUGUGCAAACACGAAAGUGGACGUAUACGGUGUGACGCCUGCCCGGUGCCGGAAGGUUAAUUGAUGGGGUUAGCGGUAACGCGAAGCUCUUGAUCGAAGCCCCGGUAAACGGCGGCCGUAACUAUAACGGUCCUAAGGUAGCGAAAUUCCUUGUCGGGUAAGUUCCGACCUGCACGAAUGGCGUAAUGAUGGCCAGGCUGUCUCCACCCGAGACUCAGUGAAAUUGAACUCGCUGUGAAGAUGCAGUGUACCCGCGGCAAGACGGAAAGACCCCGUGAACCUUUACUAUAGCUUGACACUGAACAUUGAGCCUUGAUGUGUAGGAUAGGUGGGAGGCUUUGAAGUGUGGACGCCAGUCUGCAUGGAGCCGACCUUGAAAUACCACCCUUUAAUGUUUGAUGUUCUAACGUUGGCCCGUGAUCCGGGUUGCGGACAGUGUCUGGUGGGUAGUUUGACUGGGGCGGUCUCCUCCUAAAGAGUAACGGAGGAGCACGAAGGUUGGCUAAUCCUGGUCGGACAUCAGGAGGUUAGUGCAAUGGCAUAAGCCAGCUUGACUGCGAGCGUGACGGCGCGAGCAGGUGCGAAAGCAGGUCAUAGUGAUCCGGUGGUUCUGAAUGGAAGGGCCAUCGCUCAACGGAUAAAAGGUACUCCGGGGAUAACAGGCUGAUACCGCCCAAGAGUUCAUAUCGACGGCGGUGUUUGGCACCUCGAUGUCGGCUCAUCACAUCCUGGGGCUGAAGUAGGUCCCAAGGGUAUGGCUGUUCGCCAUUUAAAGUGGUACGCGAGCUGGGUUUAGAACGUCGUGAGACAGUUCGGUCCCUAUCUGCCGUGGGCGCUGGAGAACUGAGGGGGGCUGCUCCUAGUACGAGAGGACCGGAGUGGACGCAUCACUGGUGUUCGGGUUGUCAUGCCAAUGGCACUGCCCGGUAGCUAAAUGCGGAAGAGAUAAGUGCUGAAAGCAUCUAAGCACGAAACUUGCCCCGAGAUGAGUUCU